AAGGGCAGUGGUAAAAACGAAGUGUCCGAUGAUAAAUCCAGGUCAAGAUCGUCUUCCAUAGGUAAAUUUUUGAUGAAAAAGAGACAGAAGCAGAAAGAACGCGCACCAGUGCCGCACUUUCCUCCAAGUAGCACCAGUGCCGGAUUAUUGAUAAGCACCCCAUUAUCAGUUGAAUCUGGGUCGUUUGAAGGGAGCCCUGGACUCAUAUCUCAGCGAACCUACUCAGACUCUAAUCUCCUCAAGUCGACUGGUGUUUAGCAUCCACAUAAACGAUCACAGCAAAGAAGAGUUGUUCCACGAACUGUACUUACUUUCCUGUAAGAAGCCAUGCCCUGUUGGAGUCACACUUGUUACCUCAACGCUCUUACUCUAGAAAUUAGUCAUAAAACCUUCCUGCUUGAAAGGAUUGAGAUUCGAGAAAAUUAGGAAAGAUAGGAUGCUAUUUUGUUAGAAGUUCAAACUCUCCUACCAAAGUAGAAGAAAGUGUAUAGCAGCUAGAAGAGAAUGCUCGACUAAAGAUCAGCCAUCUCACCGUUACUUACUGUGUGGGACUGAAAAUAUACGAGAAUACAAUGCUAAGAGCUAAAUUGGCCAACUUAGUUUUUAUUUACGUCGUGUGCACGGUUGUCUUUUGUGCUCUCUUUGUAAAAAGAGACGAUGUUUUCAUUAUUUUAUAAUGUUUAUAUUUAUGUUGGCCCAGGUUUUCAAAGUACAGCCAUCUCUGUACGGCACGUUUACAUAAGGAACCUUUCCCGCAGCCGACAGAACUUACAUUCAUCUGCCUAAAUUUUUAAGUAAAACGUUCCAAUUUGGCUACAUUACUUUAUAACCCAGUGUGCUAAAUUAAGGUGAUUCCUCAGUUUUGCACCGCGCAUCCUGUAUUGCACAUAAAAAUCACGUCAUUAGGGGAAUGAGCGCGCGCGCAUUCCGAGAAUACGGUAUUGUUUUUCAAUCCAUGGACCGAUAAAAAGGUACGAUGGUCUUUCGUUCUUAAAAGAGCACAGUGACAUAUAUAUUCUUUUGCAUAAUUUUGGCGUACAAUUUAUCUCCCUUAAAUUGAGAAAAUUAUGAUCUUGAAAGGAAUGACCUGAGGAACAUUAAGUCGGUGUUAUUUGAAUUUGCGUGAUUUUCCCAAAUGAUAUAUCAAAUUAUUCCAUACGCUCGAGACUUUCUACCUAUCAAGUUUUUCAAGUGUUUCUUUAAAUACCCUUGCUUCUAGCUGCAGUAAAAUGUACUGUGAACCGAUGAAAUGACGCGCGUGAUUAGUGCUAGUACAGGCAUAAAUGGGGUAAGUUUGGCCCAAUAUGUCUCGUAAACAAGCAGGGUGACGUAUCUUUUUUAUUGUAUUUUUCGAACAGACAAUGGUAGGGAACAUUUUAGGAUAAUUAAAAAAUUGUUCGAUAACUUUUUUUUCUGAGGAAUCACCUUAAGUCUGAGUGGAGACUUUGUGCAGAUAAAAAGACGUUAUUUACAUUUUUAACCUCGCCGCCCCCCCCACUCCCCUUCUUUUACUGAUCCUCCCCUCCCUUGUUUUUUUUCUGUUAAUCUCCACGUUUUACUAAAUUCAACUGAAUCCUAUUGAAUUCUUGUUUUGAUUAAAAUUUGUAGAUAAGAUGUUGCUACAUGCAUUAAAAAGGUUUUUUAGUCACA
rnacentral:misc_RNA from 1 species